rnacentral:rRNA from 1 species
GAUGAACGCUAGCGGCAGGCCUAAUACAUGCAAGUCGAACGGUAACAUGAUUGCUUGCAAUUGAUGACGAGUGGCGCACGGGUGCGUAACGCGUAUGCAACCUACCUUACACAGGGGGAUAGCCCGAAGAAAUUCGGAUUAAUACCCUAUGGUACUAUAAUGAAGCAUUUUAUAAUAGUUAAAGCAUUGUGGUGUAAGAUGGGCAUGCGUCUAAUUAGCUAGUUGGUAAGGUAACGGCUUACCAAGGCGACGAUUAGUAGGGGGUCUGAGAGGAUUAUCCCCCACACUGGCACUGAGAUACGGGCCAGACUCCUACGGGAGGCAGCAGUAGGGAAUAUUGGUCAAUGGAGGCAACUCUGAACCAGCCAUGCCGCGUGAAGGAUGAAGGCGUUCUGCGUCGUAAACUUCUUUUAUAUAAGAAGAAAUAACUCUUGCGAGGGUAGAUGACGGUAUUAUAUGAAUAAGCACCGGCUAACUCCG